AGAGUUUGAUCAUGGCUCAGAUUGAACGCUGGCGGCAGGCCUAACACAUGCAAGUCGAGCGGUAGCACAGAGAGCUUGCUCUCGGGUGACGAGCGGCGGACGGGUGAGUAAUGUCUGGGAAACUGCCUGAUGGAGGGGGAUAACUACUGGAAACGGUAGCUAAUACCGCAUAACGUCGCAAGACCAAAGUGGGGGACCUUCGGGCCUCAUGCCAUCAGAUGUGCCCAGAUGGGAUUAGCUAGUAGGUGGGGUAACGGCUCACCUAGGCGACGAUCCCUAGCUGGUCUGAGAGGAUGACCAGCCACACUGGAACUGAGACACGGUCCAGACUCCUACGGGAGGCAGCAGUGGGGAAUAUUGCACAAUGGGCGCAAGCCUGAUGCAGCCAUGCCGCGUGUGUGAAGAAGGCCUUCGGGUUGUAAAGCACUUUCAGCGGGGAGGAAGGCGAUAAGGUUAAUAACCUUGUCGAUUGACGUUACCCGCAGAAGAAGCACCGGCUAACUCCGUGCCAGCAGCCGCGGUAAUACGGAGGGUGCAAGCGUUAAUCGGAAUUACUGGGCGUAAAGCGCACGCAGGCGGUCUGUCAAGUCGGAUGUGAAAUCCCCGGGCUCAACCUGGGAACUGCAUUCGAAACUGGCAGGCUAGAGUCUUGUAGAGGGGGGUAGAAUUCCAGGUGUAGCGGUGAAAUGCGUAGAGAUCUGGAGGAAUACCGGUGGCGAAGGCGGCCCCCUGGACAAAGACUGACGCUCAGGUGCGAAAGCGUGGGGAGCAAACAGGAUUAGAUACCCUGGUAGUCCACGCCGUAAACGAUGUCGAUUUGGAGGUUGUGCCCUUGAGGCGUGGCUUCCGGAGCUAACGCGUUAAAUCGACCGCCUGGGGAGUACGGCCGCAAGGUUAAAACUCAAAUGAAUUGACGGGGGCCCGCACAAGCGGUGGAGCAUGUGGUUUAAUUCGAUGCAACGCGAAGAACCUUACCUGGUCUUGACAUCCACAGAACUUUCCAGAGAUGGAUUGGUGCCUUCGGGAACUGUGAGACAGGUGCUGCAUGGCUGUCGUCAGCUCGUGUUGUGAAAUGUUGGGUUAAGUCCCGCAACGAGCGCAACCCUUAUCCUUUGUUGCCAGCGGUCCGGCCGGGAACUCAAAGGAGACUGCCAGUGAUAAACUGGAGGAAGGUGGGGAUGACGUCAAGUCAUCAUGGCCCUUACGACCAGGGCUACACACGUGCUACAAUGGCAUAUACAAAGAGAAGCGAC
rnacentral:rRNA from 1 species